GUUGAGAGCUGUGGGUUUCCUGUGACUGGCAGAGAGAGCUGGUAUCGCUGCUGGGCAACUCCUUGGUCAGCAGUGAUUCCUACUUGGGGGGCAGAAGGCAUGGGAAGUCCUGGUGUGAGUGUCAUGUCACCCUGUGCAGGACUAUCUCCAAGGGAAAAGAGCCAGGACCCACACGGCCUUGAUACUGGCCUACAGCCGAAUUGCUGUCCAUGCCCCCCAAACGCAGCUGCUCUCCCGCGUGGAGCGUGACAUCACCAGGAAGGUCCUGCAGUAUUACACGACCAGCUGCCAGGUGCUUGGCAUCAACAUUGUCAAUAAGGACCCAGACUUAAAGCUGACCCUGAUUCAGUCAGUCACUGAGAUCAGCCGUGCCAUCCGGGAUGUAGACGACUCCCAGAACUUCCAGUUCACUUACAAAGAGGAGCUCCUGGGGUA